rnacentral:rRNA from 1 species
AGCGAACGCUGGCGGCAGGCUUAACACAUGCAAGUCGAACGGUCCUUCGGGAUAGUGGCGGACGGGUGAGUAACACGUGGGAACGUACCCUUAGGUUCGGAACAACACAGGGAAACUUGUGCUAAUACCGGAUAAGCCCUUCGGGGGAAAGAUUUAUCGCCUUUGGAGCGGCCCGCGUCUGAUUAGCUUGUUGGUGAGGUAAUGGCUCACCAAGGCUACGAUCAGUAGCUGGUCUGAGAGGAUGGCCAGCCACACUGGGAUCUGAGACACGGCCCAGACUCCUACGGGGGGCAGCAGUGGGGAAUCUUGCGCAAUGGGCGAAAGCCUGACGCAGCCAUGCCGCGUGGAUGAUGAAGGUCUUAGGAUUGUAAAAUCCUUUCACCGGGGACGAUAAUGACGGUACCCGGAGAAGAAGCCCCGGCUAACUUCGUGCCAGCCGCCGCUGUAA